rnacentral:rRNA from 1 species
GACGAACGCUGGCGGCGUGCUUAACACAUGCAAGUCGAACGGAAAGGCCCUGCUUUUGUUGGGUGCUCGAGUGGCGAACGGGUGAGUAACACGUGAGUAACCUGCCCUGGAGUUUGGGAUAACUUCAGGAAACUGUGGCUAAUACCGGAUAGGAGCUCCUGCUGCAUGGUGGUGGUUGGAAAGUUUCGGCGGUCGGGGAUGGACUCGCGGCUUAUCAGCUUGUUGGUGGGGUAGUGGCUUACCAAGGCUUUGACGGGUAGCCGGCCUGAGAGGGUGACCGGCCACAUUGGGACUGAGAUGCGGCCCAGACUCCUACGGGAGGAAGCAGUGGGGAAUAUUGCAAAAUGGGCGGAAGCCUGAUGCAGCAACGCCGCGUGCGGGAUGACGGCCUUCGGGUUGUAACCCGCUUUCGCCUGUGACGAAGCGUGAGUGACGGUAAUGGGUAAAGAAGCACCGGCUAACUACGUG